rnacentral:lncRNA from 1 species
ACAGCAACCAUGGAAUACAUUAUAGGAGGAAUAUGGUUAUUAAGACCAGGGUGAUUACAGCAACAUGGAAUAAAUAUAGGAGGAAUAUGGUUAUUAAGACCAGGGAGAUACAGCAACAUGGAAUAAAUAUAGGAGGAAUAUGGUUAUUAGACCAGGGGGUGAUACUAGCAACAUGGAAUAAAUAUAGGAGGAUAUGGUUAUUAAGACCAGGGAGAUUAAAUAUAGGAGGAAUAUGGUUUAUUAAGACCAGGGAGAUACAGCAACAUGGAAUAAAUAUGGAGGAAUAUGGUUAUUAAGACCAGGGAGAUAAAUAUAGGAGGAAUAUGGUUAUUAAGACCAGGGGGAUACAGCAACAUGGAAUAAAUAUAGGUUAGGAUUGGUUAUUCCAGACCGGGGUGAUACAGCAACAUGGAAUAAAUAUAGGAGGAUUAUGGUUAUUAAGACCAAGGAGAUACAGCAACAUGGAAUAAAUAUAGAGGGAAUAUGGUUAUUAAGACCAGGGAGAUACAGCAACAUGGAAUAUAAAUCUAGGAGGACUAUGGUUAUUAAGACCAGGGAGAUACAGCAACAUGGAAUAAAUAUCGGAGGAAUAUAGUUAUUAAGACAAGGGAAUAAAUAUAGGAGGACUAUGGUAUUAAGACCAGGGAGAUACAGCAACAUGGAAUAAAUAUAGGAGGAAUAUGGUUAUUAGACCAGGGAGAUAAAUAUAGGAGGAAUAUGGUUAUUAAGACCAGGGAGAUACAGCAACAUGGAUAAAAUAGGAGGGAUGUGCUGAUUCUGUGCUAUAGCCUUGUGAAAGACCUUUUAAAGUCCAUUUAGGCUAAAAGUUAUGAGAAGAGGAGGACUGCGAAAUAUAAGGAAAAUAAAUGUUCCCAAAGUUGCAACCAGUGAAGGGUGUUGUUUUGUGUGUAUGCAGGUAUGUGCGCCCUCCAGCUGUAGUUGAACUAUGCCUGGAUAGAAGGAAACACUCUGUUUGUGUGAGAGUGAGUAUUGAUAUACGCAGAACAUUGACAGAAAAGCCGUACAUUUUUCAUGAUAUCUAUUAAUUCACACUCUCAUUCAUUCCAAAUAUAACAUCCAUCCAGUCACCAGAAGUUUUGAUAAGUCUCUUCUUUUCCGUCACUAGGCUUUUGUCAGCAUUCCUACUUUUUAAAUAGCCUCAUGAUCCACCUGAUUCCUCAUGUUUACUGAGCUCACUCACCCCUCCGCCAUCCCUCCCCAUUACCUCGCUAUGGAGAAUGUGACAUCACUGUCUGGAACUGUGCCAGACAUGACCUUCGACUCAUCUGGAGGAGGAACCAGAAACAGUCUUUCCCACCACCAGGAACUAGUAGAAGAAGCAUCAACUCACCACUAACCAAGACAACCUCAUUCCAUUUCCACACUAGGAACCAGUAACUCAGACACUAACCAAGACAACCUCAUUCCAUUUCCACACUAGGAACCAGUAACUCAGACACUAGCCAAGACAACCUCAUUCCAUUUCCCGUUGUUACGUCUUAUUUACCCGUGUGUAUGUCUUAUUUACCCGUGUGUACGUCUUUUACUGUCCGUCUUAUUUACCCGUGUGCACGUCUUAUUUACCCGUGUGCACGUCUAUUACCGUGUGCACGUCUUAUUUACCGUGUGCACGUUUAUUUACCCGGUGCACGUCUUAUUUACCCGUGUUGUGUACGUCUUAUUUACCCGUGUGUACCUCUUAUUUCCCCGUGUGUAUGUCUUAUUUCCCGUGUGCCGGUCUUAUUUACCCGUGUCAGUCAAUAGCUAGUGCUGAUGAUUUCUGAC